rnacentral:lncRNA from 1 species
GGGAGCACGCGCGGCCAUCUUCUCCCGCGUACGCUCGUCGUCGCAUGCGCACGUAGUGCACGCGGCGGGAGCCGGGCGGACUUCCUCUGCCGCGU